rnacentral:rRNA from 1 species
GAUGAACGCUAGCGGCAGGCUUAAUACAUGCAAGUUGAGGGGCAGCAUGAUAUACGCGAGUAUAUUGAUGGCGACCGGCGGACGGGUGAGUAAUAGGUAGGAGACCUACCUCAUACAGGGGGAUAGCAUAGAGAAAUCUGUGGUAAUACCCCAUGAGGUUAUAUGAAUAGAGGCAUAUAAUCAAAGCAUAAGCGAUUAUGCGGUAUGAGAGGGGCCUACUGACCAUUAGCUAGUUGGUGAGGUAAGGGCUCACCAAGGCGAAGAUGGUUAGGGGUUUUGAGAGAGAGACCCCCCACAUUGGAACUGAGAGACGGUCCAGACUCCUACGGGAGGCAGCAGUAGGGAAUAUUGGGCAAUGGGCGAAAGCCUGACCCAGCCAUGCCGCGUGAGGGAAGAAGGCCUUCGGGUUGUAAACCUCUGUCAUGGGAAAGAAGUAAGUGACGGUACCCAAGAGGAAGCCCUGCUAACUACGUGCCAGCAGCCGCGGUAAAG